GGCAAGAUGGCCGAGUGGUUAAGGCGUUACGUUUAGGCAGACCCGAGUGUCGCACUCGGCUUCAGCUCCGUAAUUCGAAAGAGCGUGGGUUCAAAUCCCACUCUUGUCA